rnacentral:tRNA from 1 species
GCCCUGGUGGCACAGCGGUUACGCAUUCGGCUGCAAACUGAAAGGUUGGUGGUUCAAAACCACCAGAGGCU